rnacentral:lncRNA from 8 species
GUUGCAUUGGCUCAAUGAUAUAGGCUAGGGUUACCGAACUGAAUGAAUCAGCCCACUGCCACCCAUAGGCGAUUUGUCAGAAGUCCCUCCCUGCACAUUCAUUCCCAAUUCUCACCGCUGCCCGGUCACCUGACAAUUAAACGAAAUUCUCGGUUUUGUUCAGCUCUCAUCCAGUCGCAUUGAUGAUGAGCAGGAUACAGGAGGACGCAGUAUGGGUUGAAUGAAAUUGGAAAAAGGGAGUCAGCGGUAUUGUAAUAAUUUAUUUUUCUACAAUGGACGAGCCAAACAUUUUGAGACGUCGUGGGCUGCAGAAAGAGCUGAGCCUUCCACGAAGGGGAAACAUUACCAGUUCUACAACAAACAGCGGCAGAGGUCAUAUUGGAGUUGUCUGACAGGCCAAGGAUACAGGAGGCGAGGCGUAGGAAAAGAAAGGUUGAGUCGGCUACAGUCCUGACGGCCUCACCCCACAAGAGGUUCCUGGAGAACAAGGCAAUAAACUAAGAGAGAAGGAAUAAAACAAAGGGAGAAAGAAACCAGUGACACUGAAGAAAGCUGUGAUGCCACUGAAAAAGUUUGUUCCAGAUUCCAAAACCACAACAGACACACUAAAAGAAGGGGAUGCAGAAUGCUUGUUCUGUAACGAGCUCUUCUGUUACCGGUGGGGACUGGAUACUGUGCGAGCAGUGUCAGAGGUGGGCUCACGAGCUAUGCUCAAAUUGAACUGGGGUGGGAUUAAUUUGUGAGCUCUAUGUCAAUAAAAAAAUUGUGGGAAAAUGCCAUUAUGUUAAGUUAGUCAUUGUUAUGAAAUGUUUAGUGUGUGUUUUUAAUCAAUAUUUAAUCAGUUACAGUCGGAGGUUCACAUACACUUAGGUUGGAGUCAUUAAAACUCGUUUUUUUUAACCACUCCACACAUUUCUUGUUAACAAACUAUAGUUUUGGCAAGUCGGUUAGGACAUCUACUUUGUACAUGACACAAGUCAUUUUUCCAACAAUUGUUUACAGACAGAUUAUUUCACUGUAUCACAAUUCCCGUAGGUCAGAAGUUUUACACUAAGUUGACUGUGCCUUUAAACAGCAUGGAAAAUUCCAGAAAAUUAGGUCAUGGUUUAGAAGCGUGAUAGGCUAAUUGACAUAAUUUGAGUCAAUUGGAGGUGUACCUGUGGAUGUAUUUCAAGGCCUACCUUCAAACUCAGUGCCUUUUGGCUUGACAUCAUGGGAAAAUCAAAAUAAAUCAGCCAAGACAUCAGAAAAAACAUUGUAGACCUCCACAAGUCUGGUUCAUCCUUGGGAGCAAUUUCCAAACGCCUGAAGGUACCACAUUCAUCUGUACAAACAAGAUUACGCAAGUAUAAACACCAUGGGACCAUGCAGUCGUCAUACCGCUCAGGAAGGAGACGCGUUCUGUCUCCUAGAGAUGAAUGUACUUUGGUGCAAAAAGUGCAAAUCAAUCCCAGAACAACAGCAAAGGACCUUGUGAAAAUGCUGGAGGAAACAGGUAAAAAAGUAUCUAUAUCCACAGUAAAAACGGGUCCUAUACCGACAUAACCUGAAAGGCAGCUCAGCAAGGAAGAAGCCACUGCUCCAAAACCACCAUAAAAAAUCCAGACUAUGGUUUGCAACUGCACAUGGGGACAAAGAUCGUACUUUUUGGAGAAAUGUCUUCUGAUGAAACAAAAAUAUAACCAUUUGGCCAUAAUGACCAUCGUUAUGUUUGGAGGAAAAAUGGGGAGGCUUGCAAGCCGAAGAACACCAUCCCGACCAUGAAGCACGGGGGUGGCAUCAUCAUGUGGGGGUGCUUUGCUGCAGGAGGGACUGGUGCACUUCACAAAAUAGAUGGCAUCAUGAGGUAAGAAAAUUAUGUGGAUAUAUUGAAGCGACAUCUCAAGACAGUCAGGAAGUUAAAGCUUGGUCGCAAAUGGGUCUUCCAAAUGGACAAUGACCCCAAGCAUACUUCCAAAGUUGUGGCAAAAUGGCUUAAGGACAUCAAAGUCAAGGUAUUGGAGUGGCCAUCACAAAGCCCUGACCUCAAUCCUAUUAAAAAUGUGUGGGCAGAACUGAAAAAGUGUGUGCGAGCAAGGAGGCUUACAAACCUGACUCAGUUACACCAGCUCUGUCAGGAGGUAUGGGCCUAAAUUCACCCAACUUAUUGUGGGAAGCUUGUGGAAGGCUACCCAAAACGUUUGACCCAAGUAAAACAAUUUAAGGCAAUGCUAACAAAUACUAAUUGAGUGUAUGUAAACUUCUGACCCACUGGGAAUGUGAUGAAAUAAAUAAAAGCUGAAAUAAAUAUUUCUCUCCUAUUAUUCUGACAUUUCACAUUCUUAAAAUAAAAUGGUGAUCCUAACUGACCUAGGACAGGGACACUUUUUACUAGGAUUGAAUGACAGUAAUUGUGAAAAACUGAGUUUAAAUGUAAACUUCCAACUUCAACUGUAUAUUACAAACCAUUGAAAACCGUUUGCUCUUGAAUCUUAGCCCGGUAGCUGGGCAAAAUCCCCUUUCCUAAAAAAUACAUUUUAUUAAGUAACUACAUCUAGCCAUUUAUUUUCCUUCAGUUUGUUACCCUAACUAAGUAUGGCCAUCAUCCACCUACAAUAUUUUUUCAAUACUUUGCUUUGUGGUGUCAGAAAUUAAACAUUGAUCUUGGACGGAGGCGGGGCGGCAGCGGCAUCUUACCCCAUGUUCAGAGUUCUCAGACAAAUUAAAAUGAAGCAGCUGAGCUGCCAAAUCUCAAAUGACUCGUUGGCUUCUCUUUUGAAGCUCAAGUUUUCCGAAGAAGCUUAUUUACAUAUUGCUUUAGCGCCCUACUGCCAAAACUAGAGGGUUUUGUGUCACUUUAGGGGAAUAACUGAUGAAAUACACUUCACUUGAAAGAAAAAGGUUUAAUUAAAAUCAAAUGUUAUUGGUCACAUACACAUGGUUAGCAGAUGUUAAUGCGAGUGUAGCGAAAUGCUUGUUUCUAGUUCCGACAUUACAGUAAUAUCUAACAAUGCCACAACAACUACCUAAUACAUGCAAAUUUCAGUAAAGGAAUAAGAAAAUAUACAUAUAAAUAUAUGGAUGAGCGAUGACCGAGCAGCAUAGGCAAGAUGCAAUAGAUGGUAUAGAACACAGUAUAUACAUUUGAGAUGAGUAAUGCAAGAUAUGUAAACAUUAUUAAAGUGACUAGUGAUCCAUUUAUUAAAGUGGCCAAUGAUUUUGAGUCUAUGUAGGCAGCAGCCUCUCUGUUAGUGAUGGCUGUUUAACAGCCUGAUGGCCUUGAGAUAGAAGCUGUUUUUCAGUCUCUCGGUCCCAGCUUUAUGCACCUGCACUGACCUUGCCUCCUGGAUGGUAGCGGGCUGAACAGGCAGUGGCUCGGGUGGUUGUUGUCCUUGACGAUCUUUUUGGCCUUCCUGUGACAUCAGGUGCUGUAGGUGUCCUGGAGGGCAGGUAGUUUGCCCCCGGUGAUGCGUUGUGGUGUAACGAAUGCGCUGAGAGUCGGGAAGCAAGUUCAGGGAGGGAGUGUUUUAAUAAAUAAAUGAGACAAUAAACACGUAACACAAACAACGCACCGACAUGAAAACAGAGUCAAUAACACCUGAUGAAAGAACCAAGGGGAGUGACAGAUAUAGGGAAGAUAAUCAAGGAGGUGAUGGAUCCAGGUGAGUGUCAUGAGGUGCGCGAGACGAUGGUGACAGGUGUGCAGGAUAAUCAGCAGCCUGAUGACCUAGAGGCUGGAGAGGGAGUAUACAUGACAUCUGGAGAGACUUGCGGCUGCGGGCGGUGCAGUUGUCGUACCAGGCGGUGAUACCACCCGACAGGAUGCUCUCAAUUGUGCAUCUGUAAAGGUUUGGAGGGUUUUAGGUGACAAGACACAUUUCUUCAGCCUCCUGAGGUUGAAGAGGCGCUGUUGCGCCUUCUUCACAACACUGUCUGUGUGGGUGGACCAUAUCAGUUUGUUCGUGAUGUGUACGCUGAGGAACUUAAAACUUUCCACCACUGUCCCGUCCAUGUGGAUAGGGGGGUGCUCCCUCUGCUGUUUCCUGAAGUCCACGAUCAUCUCCUUUGUUUUGUUGACGUUGAGUGAGAGGUUGUUUUCCUGAAACCACAUUCCGAGUGCCCUCACCUCCUCCCUGUAGGCUGUCUCGUCGUUGUUGGUAAUCAAGCCCACUG